rnacentral:rRNA from 1 species
GACGAACGCUGGCGGCAUGCCUAACACAUGCAAGUCGAACGGUAAGGCUUCCUUCGGGAAGUACACGAGUGGCGAACGGGUGAGUAACACGUGGGUAACCUACCCUUGACUGGUGGACAACCGAGGGAAACUUCGGCUAAUACCGCAUAACGUGCAUUGCCUCAAGGUGGUGUACCAAAGCUCCGGCGGUUAAGGAUGGGGCCGCGGCAGAUUAGAUUGGUGGGGAGGUAACGGGUUAACAAGACGACGAUCGGUAGCUGGUCUGAGAGGACGAUCAGCCACACUGGAACUGAGACACGGUCCAGACUCCUACGGGAGGCAGCAGUGGGGAAUCUUGCGCAAUGGGCGAAAGCCUGACGCAGCAAUGCCGCGUGAGGGAAGACGGCCUUAGGGUUGUAAACCUCUUUCAGCAGGGACGAACACAGACGGUACCUGCAGAAGAAGCCCCGGCUAACUACGUGCCAGCCGCCGCCGUAA